ensembl:lncRNA
GUUUUUGUAUGUUUUUCCUCUCUGCAACUUUACUGCAGCUUAAAGAUGCAAUCUGGGAUCAAGAUCCCAACAAAAAAGGUGUAUUUUGUGGCUUGUGUUAUACAGACAAUCUGAUUAGAUCAUCACAAGGUUUCAUAUUAUCCUUAAAAAUUGAUAUCUAUAAAAUAAGAGUUAUUGAUAUCUGUAAGAGUUGCAUUAAAAAAAAAACACCCAUAAACAUAUAAAUAUACCUUUAUGUAAUAUUACAACAUUCAUACAGAGUGGCUGCACUAAUACCAACAGUGAAGCAGAAGUGUUUAAGAGGAAGGGGGAGUGACUUAGCAGGCAGUUUUUUUCCUGAGAAGUAACUUUUAAACCGCUUCACAUGGCUCAGCAAUUGGGAAUCAGUGUCAAUGGGGAAGGAAAGAAAUAAGAAAUGUUUAGAAAUACCGAUGUUUCCAAACAUAAAUAUUGCCAUUUCUGUUUUGAUAAAUCUGUUUAAAUCCCUUCAGAUUCCUGUGGAGGAGUAAAACAGCCUAAAGAAAUGACCUGCAUGUAUUGAAUUAAACCACGAUUUUCCAGUGAUCUCAGCAGCAGCAGAAGGGAGAUGUUUUAAUCAUUGUAUUAUCAGUUUGUGAGUCAUGUUUUAUAUGAAGAUGAGGUCAACAGGGAGCACAAAAAUGUGCCAGGAGAUUCAAAAGUUGGAAGGAGAUUGUACAACAUUAGCAGAAAAUGCAUUUGAAUGACUGUAGAGAAGCCCUCCCUCCUCCCAUAAAGCACAAACAGGCUUUCUGUGGGCAUCCCCUGGUAACACUCACAAAGAGCUGCUCCAGCAGCUGUGUGUAUAGCCAAAUACCAUCGUAGGCUGCUGCAGAGAGGCUGAUUUCUGUGUCAGCUUCCUGACCCAAAGGCAACAUGCUUUCAGCUUCUGAUAAACCCAGCGACUCAUUGUCCAGCUUCCUGUUCCUGAUAUGCAGAACACAUGUCAGAACAACUGGAGGGAUGACAACAAUGAGAGAUGAAAAAUGGACUUGGCCAGGUCUGGUUCUGGAUACUGCAACACUUAGUAAGACAAUAAAUAACAUCUACAGGAAUGUCCAGCUGAAGAGAAAAAGGUACCAUUGGCAUUACAUACUCCCAGGGCAACCAGUAUUUGGAAACAGCAAAGUUUUUGGAAUUCAGCACUGUUGCUUAAGUACUGCUGUGGGCUGAAAGAGGUGAGCUGUCCAUGAUGAAAAGGCAAGAACAGACUGAAUGAACAGGUCAUUAAUAUUUUGACACCCUGUCAUGGGGUUCAGAUUUCAGUUUUACUAUUGUCUGUGUGUCUUGAAGAAUGGGAGGAACAGUUGUCUGCUUUUCUAUUACACCCACUGAGGUGAAGAUACGGAUUCUCAGCAUCUCUUAAAAUGGGGCCUAAGUUAUCAUCUAAGAAGGAAAAAAAAUGCUGCAAUAGCAUCAUUUAUUCACUGCAGCACUGAAACUGAUUUUCAAAAAAGACAUGAUCACGCCUUAUAAUAAGCAAAGAAUAUAUAGAGAGAUGCCUAUAUAAAAAGCUCAGUUCAGUAACUGUGGGCAGGUUUCAGGAGAUCUAAUGGAGACACGUUUUAACCAAAGCAAAUUAAAUCCUUUCUGAGCAAACAAGCAAGUGCAGUUGGGUUCAUAUCUAUUAAAUAAUUGAAGCAUUUGGCUCACGGUGUCAUAUUUACACACCAAAAUUAAACACCUAUGAGCACUAUUCGGUAGAGAGUUUCUUUACUCAGAAAGGAGCUCUUGGGAAUCACAGGUCAGCCAUAGAAUAUGCCAAAAGGCAGCUAUUUCUCCGGACUUGCCACUUUGCUAUAUGUGUCUUUAUUAAGUUAGGAGUUUCCCACCUCAACUGCGGUGCAGCAAUCUGUUUCCAUCUAUCUUUUGUUUGGCAGAUAUUGGGUUGGGCACUUGCCUGAGGAACAGGGUGGCCUUAUUGAAUUAAUUCCACAGAGUAAGAGUUGAAAAAUACAUGUAUUACUUUCCUAGCUAGAAGAGUUAGAGGUAAAUCAUUCUUUUACAACUGAUUUUUUUUUUUUUUUUGUAUAGAAGAAGUAUAUAAGAUUCAUUAAUUCCCAAGAGACUGUAAGCAGAGGGAUCAUGACUUCCCAGCUGUGUGAGGAAUGUACUCCCAUGGAGCUGUUAUAUCAGUAACAAGAAUAUCCACAAUUACAGCACCUUUGGCUAAGAUAAGCAUUAUGUUUUGGAGGCUGGACCACUCUUCAGUUAUGAAGGAGGAAGUCUAUACUGUGGUUCAAAAGCACCAUUACAAAUAUAAUGUUGACUUGCUGUCUGUUGAACUAAGUCCAGUAUCACAGUUUAACUGUAGCAGCGUUUAAGCUCAUUCCAAGAUUUGAGCAUGUUUUGCUGAAAUCAGUGCUGCUGUGAGCUAGAAGGCAGUUAUUUCUCAUUUUGCCUGCUCUUGAGCCCUUAAAAAAUCCUGAAUAUUCCAGUAUUGAUAGCCCCUAGAUAUAUGGUGCUCAACUUUGUCCAUUUUGUGUCUGACCCCCUCUGUACAGUGCAGUUUUCCUCUGAGGGAAGCUGGCUGUGAAUGGUUACGUUGAGUUACACCUUCUGCAAAUCAGAAGUAAACAAGAGGCUGGAUUUAUGCAUUUGCCCUGUCCAAAUUUGAAUCUAUCUCAGCUUCUUGGCCAAUUUGAAACAAUGACUAAACAAAGAAAAAAACAAAACAAACCACCAUAAACUUGAACUCUUGUUGUCUUGCCACUGUUUAAUUGAGGGUUGACAAGAAAAUUUAGUGCUACAUCUGUGGCAGUGUUAAACUGCAGUUAUUAGGAACUUUUGCAGCAAUGCGUAUGCUUUCUCUUGUUCACUUUCACACUGAGCUAUAAAGUUUCACUACAGCAUUCUUUUCCAGGUUGCUGCUGUAUUCUCAUCAUUAAUCAUUGAGUGAAAUUUUGUUUCUGCUGUGUCUUCUGUACUGUUUUCAAAGUUUUGUUUUUAUUUCCCAAGCACUGCUUUCAUCCUGCCUUGAAUCAUUUACUGUUUUUCAGUUAAUCCACUCUAGUGGAGUGGCAAAUAAGACUGUCCCCAAAGACAUGCCUGCUGCUGACUGUAAGCAUUUCUUUUUUUAUAUUGUAAUCACACCAGAUGAUAUUGUGAAAUGAAUCUCAUCUUGCAAUACAGACUGUGAGCUAUAUGGAAAGCAAUCAUAAGAAAGUCUCUAUUGUAGACAGGUUGAACCUAUAUUAAAUUAAUGGAAAUCAGUUUGUGUGGGGUCAAACCUGAAAUUAUCACCUUCAACAAAGCCUGACAUGCUAUUUGUAUAAUUACUGUUCAUUAGAAUAUAACUUGUGAAUCAACAACAAAAAAAGAAAGGUUGCAUGCACUAUUUAUUUUAGAAGAUCCUAUGGUUCUCAUUUGCCCUUGCUUUUGUUCUCUCCCUUGUCACAUUUAAAAGAUUCUACAAGUCCAGCUACAGGAGAAGCAAAGGCCUCUGCUCCAGGCACAAGUGUCCUAAAAGUCAGAUGCAGAAAUUCUUCUGGAAGAGAUACCACCCAGUUUCGGACUAGCAUACUUGGUAACUAUUUGGGGUGCUGUUUAUCACGGCAAAUGGACAGGUUUGAGCACCAGCACAAUCUACUUCCUUCUUUGGACUUUUUUUGGCUCAGUUUUGGCAUGGACUGAUCACCUUCUCCCAGCUGAUGGCCAAACACCAUUUGGAUGAUUGCUGUGGACCUAAGGCUCUUCUCAAGAGGUGAUAUGGUUGUGGUAACUCGAUUUAGGGGCAAAGAGGGGAGGGCUGACAGUGUGAGCCCAAACCUUGUUAUACCAUUUAUCCUUAGGGCCAGAGAACGGUUUUGGAAAAGUUAGCAAGUCAAAGGUUUAGUGGAUGAGAGGCCUCUGUCAAGUCUUGUGCAAAAAUUGCUUUUUUUUUCCAGUGUCAAUUUACUGUUUUUAAGUGGGUUUACUCCAGAGUACUAUUACCAUAUGUACUUUCUCAUCCCUCUCUUCUUUUUACUAAUCUUGCUCAGCACAUGAGUUGAUUGUAGUAGUAAAUGGUUUGGCCAAACAUAUGGCAAUGGACAGAAUUAAGGUCCUGGUAAGUAGAGAGAUCAGGCUGUCUUCUGCAUGCCCUCUUGGUCAGUAAAAUCCCAUACACACCAGUGCUACUCUGUUUCCGGAUGUCCACCAUGCCUUGCAUCCCACCAGCCAGGCUGCAGGAAGAGGGGUAAAGCAGCGAGGCUGUUUCCUCCAGGCUGAGCUGCUCCACAGCUCCUUUAGAAGAAAGCAAAUCCUUUGCUACCUUUCUUUUGGUCUGCCUCCUGUUGGCUUCCCCUUCCUCAGCACCAGGAGCUGGUUGAGCCCACUAAUAACUCCAUUCUUCAUCAGUGCCACUGAAUGGGCAUUUUACAAGGCAAAGUUUGACUUAAAGCUCUUAGUAAAAGAAAGAAAUCCUUUUUAUAAUUACAUGAAAAGGACAAUUAUUUUCUCGCAUUGGGAUGAGAUCAGAAUUGGGCUUUCUGCAAUUUUUAUGUCCAAUAUAGAUUUGAUUUACCACAAUCCCCUGAUGAUUUUGGUGCUGAUAAAUAAAUGUAUUUAUAUGUUGUGCUCUUACAUUCCUAGUACUAACUGAGGAAGCAGAACAAUAACAUACUCUUGUCAAUACAAGCACUGCCCUGGGAAUUGACUAAUUAACAUAAAACUCAGCCCUGCAGGGACAUUUCCAGGUUCAUUUUUUGCUGCUUCAGCAAACUAUAGGGUUUGAGCUGUUAACUACUUUCAGAUGCUCUUUGUCUCUGAAGAAAGAAAUAAAGAACAUCCACGUUGCUUUAGGCAAGUUAAUGAUUCUACAGAACACUUACCUUUUUACCAUAUGCUUCAUGGUGGAUUAAAAUCCUGAAGGAGUUGAGGAUUAUAUAGCAUGUAUAGUCCUUUGGCAGAAAAACACUUACUCUGAACUAAAAGUGAAUGGCUGAAUGUGACAUUUAUAUUCAUUGUUUUUCCAGAACUGCGUACUGAGGAUGUUUGAAUUUACUCAAAAUAAUUCUUCCAGUAAUCCCAAAGCAGAGGUUUUGUAGGUGCUUUGAUUUCACGUGUUGUCUUAAGGUUAUGACAAAUAGUUCACAGUGGCUACUGGGAAAACUGGAGAAGUUUGCAUAUUCACUUCUGCAAAGUUAGAAGGAAAUCUGGCCUAACUUGGCAAAGGGAUGUGCUUACAGUUUUGAGGAACACAUAAUACUUGGGUUUUUGUGUGUCUGUGUGAUUUACUUUUCACUCAUGUUCAUUCCCUUGGAUGACAAAAGCAAAGUUUCUUGUCUACAGGAAAAAAUAGGAAAUAAAAGAGAAGGAAAGUCAAACUAAAUAAGGCUUUAAUCUCACAGAUAAAGAAAAAAACUUUCCCUCCUUCUUGUAGUGUUUGCUGUUAUUAUAGACUGUUCUUAAUUUCCACAUGUGCCCAUUGCUUUUGUUUAUGAAUGAACAAAAUGACAUACUGCAGUUCACAGAAAUCAUCUGUAGAAAGAAACAAGGGAAUAAUUUUCUAUCACUGCUGAAAACUCUUCAGUAGAUCUUCAUGUGCUGCAGCUAAAAGGACCUGAAAAUUACAUUUUGAAUGAGCACAUAUACUUUCAAAGUAUUUUGUCAGAGCAGAAAGCUAAGUACACGUGCAAAAUGCACAUUUGAGAAAGCCGAAGUCACAGCACUUGCAGAUACACACAAUAUUCAUAGUUUUGUUUUGUACAUACAUUUACUUGUUGGUGCAUGAAUACAUAAAUUUUGUGAGUGUGCUUCAGGCAUUAGUAUGAGAAGCCGUGUGUAUAUAUGUGACUGUUUGUGCCUAUUAGCACAAAUUAUUACAAUUGCUCAUACCUAUCUGAUCCUGCUGUAUAGGCUUCAUAGGCUUUACCCAUUUGGAAUAAAAUUACACGAUGUAUGUCUGCCUGCACAUUUUUUUUUCCCCCAGCAGUUUUCAAACACAAUAAUUCAAUAUUUGCUAAAAAAGGAAGAAAAAUACCUUGUAAAACACAUAAUGUUUUACUCUUUAUCAGGCAAUGUGGAAAGGUUUCAUUUGUAUUGCUGUGUCUCUUGGGCUUCAGAACAGGAAAGCGCUCAUUCAAAAUGUAACGUCCAAGUCCUUUUAGCUACAGCACAUAAAGGUCUACUGAAAAGUUUUCGGCAGUGAUAUGAAAUGAAGUGGGAUAACUUAGAGAAGUCAGGAGGAUGAGAGGAAAUAAAAACAAAUAUGGGGCCAGUAAGUAGCCAGGACUAUCUGCCAGGACAAGGUGACUCCUGGGAAAAGGAAAGAGAGAUGAGUGACUACAGCAUGAGGAGUCAGAAGUAGGGAAAAGGAAAUACUGCUAUAGUAGUAUUUUGAAUAGGAUGAGACAGCAAGUGUCAGGGUGGUCAGACAAAAAACAGCCUUGGUGCCCUUCUAGUACUUGGAGCAGUACUAAAUGUUUGUGAAAGUCACUUGGGAAGAUUUUCAGUUCCUCUAAUCUCCAUCCACAUUAGCAGCAGCAAUCUACUUCUGCCAUUGUUUACUAGAACAACUGUCAUGCCAGUUUGCAGAGAUCUGUGCAAUGGACUUCAGUGUUUCCAGUAUUGCUGAUUCUGGGAGUCAGCAAAUGCAAAGAUGCUAGAAAUAUGUCGAUGAAGUAUUGCUAUUCCUGUUUAUUUGUAUGCUCUCAUGAUCAGUAAAAUAACUUUCCUUAAUUUAGUCUGCCUUUACUCUUCAUGGAAAGCUUAAGGAAAACUAGGCAUAAGCAGCUUGGUUUCAUUCAAUUUUUCUAUGGAGGUCUCAUCCUGCACACACCAAUGGUGGCCAUCUAUCAUAUAUUUACAUUAUGUUGAAAUGAAGGGAACAUGACAUUUUUCCUUUAUUGUCAGGAGGUGUCAAAAGUAUUAAUAGCAUAAUUUUUGCUAGCUGGCUAAAAUUCUCACACUGCAAUCUUGUGCAUCAGCAUUUUUUUUUUUUUUAAACCACAGAUGGUCAUUUAUGUAACACUGUUGGAAAUUGUUGCCAUGUUCCACAGCAACAGGAAAAUGGGAUACAUCUGCACUUUGUGGGGAAAAAUACAAAUGAACUAGAAGCUAAGCAAACAUUUAAAUUACAGGGAAACGGGACUGCGAUAAGCCCUGGUCUGCAUGAGCAGGAAGAGAGUGUCAGCCUCACCCAUACCCUGAAAAAAUGCUCACAUUUAUGGGCCACUCUAUUGUACUGAGUGGAAGUUUGUUUAUGCGGGACCUUCCUUCCCUCAGGACUUCCUCUGAGAGGAAAUGUCGUCACCAUUUAGUAGGAGUCAAUUGUUAUGCAUUCAAAACUCAAACAUAAAAUAGUAUCCCCGAAUGCAACGAAGUGCAAAGGAAUAAAUAAGAUUUAUGCAUUUACAUAUUUGGAAACAUUUACAAAAGUUGUUCUUGCUCACUAAGACUUUCAGAGAACUGGGUAAAAGCUAAUAAUGCUUGAGUAAGUAGCUCAAAUAAUAUCGUUUUAUAGGUGCUCAAGAUGCUACUCAGUAUUUGAUGAAUUCCACGACUUUUGUCAUCGCUGCUAGUGCUCUAUGGCCGAUGUGGGAAUAUGUUUAAACAGAAGGCUGAAAAUCAGUUUGCAGCUGUAAAACCAGGGUCAUGCUCUUAUGGGAAUACUUGGCUAAGUCUGUUCCAUGUUUUGUACUGAAUGGCUCUGGAUCUGAAGCGCUCUGGGUAAGCAUUUUUUCUCACACCAUAUUUCUGAGUUUAGUGUUCCCUGAGUUUUUUCUUUUUCUCAUGGCAAGAUACAAAUAUUGUUUCAUACUAAAUGCUGUAGAAGAGCUAAUAUUAGCGUUGCUUUCCCUUUGCCACUGUCAUCGUGUUGCCAGUCAUAUGUUGCUAGUCCCCACCUUGUGGGAGAGGAAUUCGCUGAGCUAUUGGAGUGCCACAUUCAGAGAAGGCCUGAGGUUGGCAGACCAUGAUCCACAGCAGUCUGCAGGGAACAUUUGUGUCCAAAAGAUGCAGCCCAACCCCGAUCAAUGAUGGCCCAGGAGGUGUCAUGAUAGUCUGUCUGCUGAAGAUUCAACAUCCAUGAAGUCUUCUUCCCUGAUGUAUGAUCAAUGCUAAAAAUAAGUUGCGUGUCUCUCAGAGAAAUUUUCCUGGAGAUACAUUAUGACAACUAAUGGAGCAAGAAGAUGUGCUUUAUCUUGCCUGUGGAAUGCAAAUUUUGAUCCAAGGACAAUAUAUAAAGUGCAGAACAAGAUUACACACUGGUGUCAACCUGAUUAAAGCUCUUUUAGAUAAAGUGCCAUAGUCUAGAAGUUGAUUUUUUCCUGGCUAGAGAUCUGGCCCAUCAUGAUUAUACCAAUUCUCCCCUCCAUACUCUCUCUCCCCAUUCCUCCCACACGUUUUCUCAACCAUGAAGCAAGCAAAGGCUUCUCAUUUCGUGCAUGUGGAUGUAACCGUGCAGCCAGGCCGACCCAGCC